UACGGAAGGCAGCAGUGGGGAAUAUUGCACAAUGGGCGCAAGCCUGAUGCAGCCAUGCCGCGUGUAUGAAGAAGGCCUUCGGGUUGUAAAGUACUUUCAGUCGUGAGGAAGGUGUUAAGGUUAAUAACCUUAGCAAUUGACGUUAGCGACAGAAGAAGCACCGGCUAACUCCGUGCCAGCAGCCGCGGUAAUACGGAGGGUGCGAGCGUUAAUCGGAAUUACUGGGCGUAAAGGGCACGCAGGCGGUUAAUUAAGUUGGAUGUGAAAUCCCCGGGCUUAACCUGGGAAUGGCAUUCAAGACUGGUUAGCUAGAGUCUUGUAGAGGGGGUAGAAUUCCAUGUGUAGCGGUGAAAUGCGUAGAGAUGUGGAGGAAUACCGGUGCGAAGGCGCCCCUGGACAAGACUGACGCUCAUGUGCGAAAGCGUGGGGAGCAAACAGGGAUUAGAUACC
rnacentral:rRNA from 1 species